rnacentral:rRNA from 1 species
AACGAACGCUGGCGGCAUGCCUAACACAUGCAAGUCGAACGAGACCUUCGGGUCUAGUGGCGCACGGGUGCGUAACGCGUGGGAACCUGCCCUUAGGUUCGGAAUAACUCCCCGAAAGGGGUGCUAAUACCGGUUAAUGUCUUCGGACCAAAGAUUUAUCGCCUUUGGAUGGGCCCGCGUUGGUUUAGCUAGUUGGUAGGGUAAAGCCUACCAAGGCGACGAUCCAUAGCUGGUCUGAGAGGAUGAUCAGCCACACUGGGACUGAGACACGGCCCAGACUCCUACGGGAGGCAGCAGUGGGGAAUAUAGGACAAUGGGCGAAAGCCUGAUCCAGCAAUGCCGCGUGAGUGAUGAAGGCCUUAGGGUUGUAAAGCUCUUUUACCCGGGAUGAUAAUGACAGUACCGGGAGAAUAAGCUCCGGCUAACUCCGUG